UCAACCCCAUAAGCUUCAUCAUACUUUUUUGCUGUGCUGCAGUAGUUACUUUCUGUUCUUAUAAGUAUUUUAAACUUUGGUGAUCUGUUUUAAUGAUGAAGGGUCGGGAACUAAUGUAGUGCUUUCAUUUUUCUACAGCCAGCAAAAUAGCUAGGAAUUCUUUUUCAUAGGUAGAAAGUGCUCUGUUCCUUUCACUUAGUCCUUUACUGAGGUAAGCUACAGGCCUUCCUUGUUGUGUGAAGAUUGCUCCAAUUCCAUAUCCACUGGCAUCUACCUCCAAAGUGAAAGUGAAUGAAGGAGUGGGUUGAGAAACUGAUGGCUGCAGCGAAAUUAGCUUCCGCAACUGCUCAUGCCUGCGAUUUUGUUCUUGCAUCAUAAUUUCAUGCCUCCUUGCAGCUUCAAUUUGUAAAGCUUCAUAUUUCUAUCUUUCCUCAAUCUGUAUUUCAUCUAACUGUCUUGCAAACACACCCAACUUUGUAUUGUAUUCCUCAGAUACUUGUUGUAAUUUGUUUUCAAUAUGGUUGUGGCA